CGCGGCCUAUCAGCUUGUUGGUGAGGUAAUGGCUCACCAAGGCUUCGACGGGUAGCCGGCCUGAGAGGGUGACCGGCCACACUGGGACUGAGACACGGCCCAGACUCCUACGGGAGGCAGCAGUGGGGAAUAUUGGACAAUGGGCGAAAGCCUGAUCCAGCAACGCCGCGUGAGGGAUGACUGCCUUCGGGUUGUAAACCUCUUUCAGUAGGGACGAAGCGAAAGUGGCGGUACCUGCAAAAGAAGCACCGGCCAACUACGUGCCAGCAGCCGCGGUAAUACGUAGGGUGCGAGCGUUGUCCGGAAUUAUUGGGCGUAAAGGGCUCGUAGGCGGUUUGUCACGUCGGGAGUGAAAACUCAGGGCUUAACCCUGAGCCUGCUUCCGAUACGGGCAGACUAGAGGUAUGCAGGGGAGAACGGAAUUCCUGGUGUAGCGGUGAAAUGCGCAGAUAUCAGGAGGAACACCGGUGGCGAAGGCGGUUCUCUGGGCAUUACCUGACGCUGAGGAGCGAAAGUGUGGGGAGCGAACAGGAUUAGAUACCCUGGUAGUCCACACCGUAAACGUUGGGCGCUAGGUGUGGGACUCAUUCCACGAGUUCCGUGCCGCAGCUAACGCAUUAAGCGCCCCGCCUGGGGAGUACGG
rnacentral:rRNA from 1 species